CCUACGGGUGGCAGCAGUGAGGAAUAUUGGUCAAUGGACGAGAGUCUGAACCAGCCAAGUAGCGUGAAGGCUGACUGCCCUAUGGGUUGUAAACUUCUUUUAUAUGGGAAUAAAAUGUUCCACGUGUGGGAUUUUGUAUGUACCAUAUGAAUAAGGAUCGGCUAACUCCGUGCCCGCAGCCGCGGUAAUACGGAGGAUCCGAGCGUUAUCCGGAUUUAUUGGGUUUCACGGGGGCGUAGGUGGAUUGUUAAAUCAGUUGGGAAAGUUUGCGGCUCAAACGUAAAAUUGCAGUUGAAACUGGCAGUCUUGAGUACAGUAGAGGUGGGCGGAAUUCGUGGUGUAGCGGUGAAAUGCUUAGAUAUCACGAAGAACUCCGAUUGCGAAGGCAGCUCACUGGACUGCAACUGACACUGAGGCUCGAAAGUGUGGGUAUCAAACAGGAUUAGAUACCCUUGUAGUC
rnacentral:rRNA from 1 species